rnacentral:other from 1 species
AGUUCCCUGCUUUGCGCGUGAUGGUUUCGGAGGCUCGCUUUGAGCCAAUGUUCCAUCUAAGUGAAUCGCGACGCCGCGCCGUGUGCAUGCCUCUGCAAGAGGAAGCCUGACGCGCGGCUUGACCAGUGGUUCCACCUGCUUAGCGCAGGUUCAAACGAGCUCCCCACACGGCAAAGCGGGGCCUUU